GCCAGCAUGGUGCAAUGCUUUGCACAUUUGGCUAUGACUCUGGAGACCAGGGUUCAAAUCCCCAUUCAGCCA